AGCACCGGCUAACUACGUGCCAGCAGCCGCGGUAAUACGUAGGGUGCAAGCGUUAUCCGGAAUUAUUGGGCGUAAAGGGCUCGUAGGCGGUUCGUCGCGUCCGGUGUGAAAGUCCAUCGCUUAACGGUGGAUCCGCGCCGGGUACGGGCGGGCUUGAGUGCGGUAGGGGAGACUGGAAUUCCCGGUGUAACGGUGGAAUGUGUAGAUAUCGGGAAGAACACCAAUGGCGAAGGCAGGUCUCUGGGCCGUUACUGACGCUGAGGAGCGAAAGCGUGGGGAGCGAACAGGAUUAGAUACCCUGGUAGUCCACGCCGUAAACGGUGGAUGCUGGAUGUGGGGCCCGUUCCACGGGUUCCGUGUCGGAGCUAACGCGUUAAGCAUCCCGCCUGGGGAGUACGGCCGCAAGGCUAAAACUCAAAGAAAUUGACGGGGGCCCGCACAAGCGGCGGAGCAUGCGGAUUAAUUCGAUGCAACGCGAAGAACCUUACCUGGGCUUGACAUGUUCCCGACAGCCGUAGAGAUACGGUCUCCCUUCGGGGCGGGUUCACAGGUGGUGCAUGGUCGUCGUCAGCUCGUGUCGUGAGAUGUUGGGUUAAGUCCCGCAACGAGCGCAACCCUCGCCCUGUGUUGCCAGCACGUCGUGGUGGGAACUCACGGGGGACCGCCGGGGUCAACUCGGAGGAAGGUGGGGAUGACGUCAGAUCAUCAUGCCCCUUACGUCCAGGGCUUCACGCAUGCUACAAUGGCCGGUACAACGGGAUGCGACCUCGUGAGGGGGAGCGGAUCCCUUAAAACCGGUCUCAGUUCGGAUUGGAGUCUGCAACCCGACUCCAUGAAGGCGGAGUCGCUAGUAAUCGCGGAUCAGCAACGCCGCGGUGAAUGCGUUCCCGGGCCUUGUACACACCGCCCGUCAAGUCAUGAAAGUGGGUAGCACCCGAAGCCGGUGGCCCAACCUUUUGGGGGGAGCCGUCUAAGGUGAGACUCGUGAUUGGGACUAAGUCGUAACAAGGUAGCCGUACCGGAAGGUGCGGCUG
rnacentral:rRNA from 1 species